rnacentral:rRNA from 1 species
UACGGAGGAUGCAAGCGUUAUCCGGAAUGAUUGGGCGUAAAGCGUCCGCAGGUGGCGAUGUAAGUCUGCUGUUAAAGAGUGAGGCUCAACCUCAUAAGAGCAGUGGAAACUACAUAGCUAGAGUACGUUCGGGGCAGAGGAAAUUCCUGGUGUAGCGGUGAAAUGCGUAGAGAUCAGGAAGAACACCAGUGGCGAAGGCGCUCUGCUAGGCCGUAACUGACACUGAGGGACGAAAGCUAGGGGAGCGAAUGGG